rnacentral:piRNA from 1 species
UGCAAUGAGAGCUUCUGCACCC